rnacentral:rRNA from 1 species
UGCUAGUCGAGCGCUUCCUAGCCAAUUUGGGAGCGCGGCGCACAGCUCAGUAACACGUGGCUAACCUGCCCUUGGGACGAGGACACCCCCGGGAAACUGGGGCUAAUCCUCGAUAGGUGAAGAACUCUGGAAUGAGUCUCCACCCAAAAGACGCUUACGCUAUGCUUGUAGGCGCCGCCCAAGGGUGGGGCCGCGACCGAUCAGGUUGUUGGUGAGGCAACGGCUCACCAAGCCUUUUACCGGUGCGGGCCGUGGGAGCGGGAGCCCGGAGAUGGGCACUGAGACAAGGGCCCAGGCCCUACGGGGCGCAGCAGUCGCGAAAACUUUGCAAUACACGAAAGUGUGACAGGGCUAUCCCGAGUGCCAUCCGCUGAGGAAGGCUUUUACCCAGUGUAGAUAGCUGGGGGAAUAAGGAGAGGGCAAGACUGGUGUCAGCCGCCGCGGUAAUACCAGCUCUCCGAGUGGUGUGGAUGUUUAUUGGGCCUAAAGCAUCCGUAGCUGGCCAAGUUAGUCCCCUGUUAAAUCCACCGAUUUAAUCGUUGGUGUGCGGGGGAUACUGCUCGGCUAGGGGACGGGAGAGGCAGACGGUAUUUCCGGGGUAGGGGUGAAAUCCUAUAAUCCCGGGAGGACCACCAGUGGCGAAGGCUGUCUGCUAGAACGCGCCCGACGGUGAGGGAUGAAAGCUGGGGGAGCGAACCGGAUUAGAUACCCGGGUAGUCCCAGCUGUAAACGAUGCAGGCUAGGUGUUUGGACGGCCACGUGCCGUUCUAGUGCCGCAGGGAAAGCCGUUAAGCCUGCCGCCUGGGGAGUACGGUCGCAAGGCUGAAACUUAA